rnacentral:rRNA from 1 species
GAUGAACGCUGGCGGCGUGCCUAAUACAUGCAAGUCGAGCGACCACAUGAGUAGCUUGCUCCUCUGACGUUAGCGGCUGACGGAUGAGUAACACGUGCAUCACCUACCUCUAAGACUGGGAUAACUUCGGGAAACCGCUGCCACUACCUGAUCAUAUAUUGUACCGCAUGGUUCAAUAGUUCAUGACCGUUUUCCUGUUCCUUUUAGCUGGUUCCGCGCCGCAUUAGCUAGUUGGUAAGGUAACGCCUUACCAAGGCAACGAUGCGUAGCAGACCUGAGAGGAUGAGCAGCCACACUGGAACUGAGACACGGUCCAGACUCCUACGGGAGGCAGCAGUAGGGAAUAUUGAGCAAUGGGCGCAAGCCUGACGGAGCAACACCGCGUGAGUGAUGAAGGUCUUCGGAUUGUAAAACUCUGUUAUUAGGAAAGAAAAAAAGCGUAAGAAAAUAUGCACGUCUUGACGGUACCUAAUGAGAAAGCCACGGCUAACUGCGUG